rnacentral:rRNA from 1 species
GACGAACGCUGGCGGCGUGCCUAAUACAUGCAAGUAGAACGCACAGUUUAUACCGUAGCUUGCUACACCAUAAACUGUGAGUUGCGAACGGGUGAGUAACGCGUAGGUAACCUGCCUGGUAGCGGGGGAUAACUAUUGGAAACGAUAGCUAAUACCGCAUAAUAUUGAUUAUUGCAUGAUAAUUGAUUGAAAGAUGCUAUUGCAUCACUACCAGAUGGACCUGCGUUGUAUUAGCUAGUAGGUGAGGUAACGGCUCACCUAGGCGACGAUACAUAGCCGACCUGAGAGGGUGAUCGGCCACACUGGGACUGAGACACGGCCCAGACUCCUACGGGAGGCAGCAGUAGGGAAUCUUCGGCAAUGGACGAAAGUCUGACCGAGCAACGCCGCGUGAGUGAGGAAGGUUUUCGGAUCGUAAAGCUCUGUUGUAAGAGAAGAACGGGUGUGAGAGUGGAAAGUUCACACUGUGACGGUAUCUUACCAGAAAGGGACGGCUAACUACGUG